GAGAGCGUAAUGCUUGGAAACUUGCACGUUGCGUUCGGAGGAAGGUAGUUGGUAUCCUGAGGAGCGUAGAGUCAGCAUCUUCGCGUCGCAAGGGGCUGGCUACCCAUCCUAC
rnacentral:ncRNA from 3 species